CCGACCCGACAAGGCCUCCCCGGCUGGCAAGGCGGCAAGGCAAGAGCAAAACCACCAGGAACCAGGAGCCUCCCCGGCCCGGCAAGGCCUCCUCGGCCGGCAAGGCGACGGCAAGGCCUCCCCGCCUUCGGUGGCCUUGCCCUUCAACCGCCCCUAAGUGGCACAGCCAUCCAGGUCCAGCCGUCCAAGACCACCACCGGUAAGUUUCUUCUUUUUUUUGUUUUUGGCACUCCCCCUUCGCCCCGCUUGGUGCGCCGGGUCGGCGGGCCGCCAGUCCGCCUUCGUUUCUCGAAAG
rnacentral:lncRNA from 1 species